CCUACGGGUGGCAGCAGUGAGGAAUAUUGGUCAAUGGGCGCGAGCCUGAACCAGCCAAGUAGCGUGAAGGAUGACUGCCCUACGGGGUGUAAACUUCUUUUAUAAAGGAAAAAAGUGAGGCACGUGUGCCUUUUUGUAUGGAUGUUAUGAAUAAGGAUCGGCUAACUCCGUGCCAGCAGCCGCGGUAAUACGGAGGAGCCGAGCUUUAUCCGGAUUUAUUGGGUUUAAAGGGAGCGUAGAUGGGUUGUUAAGUCAGUUGUGAAAGUUUGCGGCUCCACCGUAAAAUUGCACUUGAUACUGGCAGCCUUGCGUACAGUUGAGGUAGGCGGCAUUCGUGGUGUCGCGGU
rnacentral:rRNA from 1 species